rnacentral:rRNA from 1 species
UCUACUGAAAGAGUUUUCGGACAAUGGAUGUAGAGGAAAGUGGCGGACGGGUGAGUAACGCGUGAGGAACCUGCCUUGAAGAGGGGGACAACAGUUGGAAACGACUGCUAAUACCGCAUGACGCAUAGAGGUCGCAUGAUCUUUAUGCCAAAGAUUUAUCGCUUCAAGAUGGCCUCGCGUCUGAUUAGCUGGUUGGCGGGGUAACGGCCCACCAAGGCGACGAUCAGUAGCCGGACUGAGAGGUUGAACGGCCACAUUGGGACUGAGAUACGGCCCAGACUCCUACGGGAGGCAGCAGUGGGGAAUAUUGGGCAAUGGGCGCAAGCCUGACCCAGCAACGCCGCGUGAAGGAAGAAGGCUUUCGGGUUGUAAACUUCUUUUAAGAGGGAAGAGCAGAAGACGGUACCUCUAGAAUAAGCCACGGCUAACUACGUGCCAGCAGCCGCGGUAAUACGUAGGUGGCAAGCGUUGUCCGGAUUUACUGGGUGUAAAGGGCGUGCAGCCGGGUCUGCAAGUCAGAUGUGAAAUCCAUGGGCUCAACCCAUGAACUGCAUUUGAAACUGUAGAUCUUGAGUGUCGGAGGGGCAAUCGGAAUUCCUAGUGUAGCGGUGAAAUGCGUAGAUAUUAGGAGGAACACCAGUGGCGAAGCGGAUUGCUGGACGAUAACUGACGGUGA